UACGAAGGGGGCUAGCGUUGCUCGGAAUCACUGGGCGUAAAGCGCACGUAGGCGGAUUGCUAAGUCAGGGGUGAAAUCCUGGAGCUCAACUCCAGAACUGCCCUUGAUACUGGCGACCUUGAGUCCGGGAGAGGUGAGUGGAACUGCGAGUGUAGAGGUGAAAUUCGUAGAUAUUCGCAAGAACACCAGUGGCGAAGGCGGCUCACUGGCCCGAUACUGACGCUGAGGCACGAAAGCGUGGGGAGCAAACAGG
rnacentral:rRNA from 1 species